rnacentral:rRNA from 1 species
AGUGAACGCUGGCGGUAGGCCUAACACAUGCAAGUCGAACGGCAGCACAGUAAGAGCUUGCUCUUACGGGUGGCGAGUGGCGGACGGGUGAGGAAUACAUCGGAAUCUACUUUUUCGUGGGGGAUAACGAAGGGAAACUUACGCUAAUACCGCAUACGACCUACGGGUGAAAGCAGGGGAUCUUCGGACCUUGCGCGAUUGAAUGAGCCGAUGUCGGAUUAGCUAGUUGGCGGGGUAAAGGCCCACCAAGGCGACGAUCCGUAGCUGGUCUGAGAGGAUGAUCAGCCACACUAGAACUGGGACAGGCACAUGACUCCUACGGGAGGCAGCAGAGGGAAAUAUUGGACAAUGGGCGCAAGCCUGAUCCAUCCAUACCGAGUGUGUGAAAUAUACCUUCGGGUGGUAAUGACCUUUUGUUGGGAAAAAAAAGCAUCAGGUUAAUACGCAGCUGUUCUGACGGUAACAAGAGAAUAAGCACCGGCUAACUACGUG